rnacentral:rRNA from 1 species
UCACUGUAGCAAUACAGUGGAAAGUUCAGUGGCGAACGGGUGCGUAACACGUGGGCAAUCUGCCUUAAAGUGUGGGAUAGCUCGGCGAAAGCCGAAUUAAUACCGCAUGUGGCUACUGGAGACAUCUUCGGGACGCUAAAGGUGGCGCAAGCUACCGCUUUUUGAGGAGCCCGCGGCCUAUCAGCUUGUUGGUGAGGUAACGGCUCACCAAGGCGUUGACGGGUAGCUGGUCUGAGAGGACGACCAGCCACACUGGGACUGAGACACGGCCCAGACACCUACGGGUGGCAGCAGUCGAGAAUUUUUGACAAUGGGGGAAACCCUGAUCGAGCGACGCCGCGUGGAGGAUGAAGGUCUUCGGGUUGUAAACUCCUGUCAUUUGGGAACAAGGCGUAUGUAUUAACUGUACGUGCGUUGAUAGUACCAGAAGAGGAAGAGACGGCUAACUCUGUGCCAGCAGCCGCGGUAAUACAGAGGUCUCAAGCGUUGUUCGGAUUCAUUGGGCGUAAAGGGUGUGUAGGUGGCGCGCUAAGUCGGGUGUGAAAUUUCGGAGCUUAACUCCGAAACUGCAUUCGAUACUGGCGUGCUUGAGGACUGGAGAGGAGACUGGAAUUCACGGUGUAGCA